GCAUUUAUUUGACUUGUAUGUUAUCAUAAAAUAUUUUCUCUUAGCUAGGCAUGAUGGUGUGUGUGUAUAAUCUCGGAGUCCAGGAGGCUGGGGCAGGUAUCUUCUCCACUUCCUUCCUUGUCCCCUCAAAGAUCUUGACUAACAUCAAGGCAACACCUUCUUUGUAGAUGGAAGAGCAGUUGGGCUGUCAGCUGCUCAAACCGUUUUGUUCUGUAACCGCGUUUGAAAACGAUGUGAGGAAGAAUAAACAACCGUGAAUGUGGAGUCAAGGAGACCUGAGGGUGAAGCCCAGCUUGGCUGCCUGCCUGCUGUGGACCUUGGACAAAUUGCAUGGCAAUUCUGGGUCCCUGGUCUCCUCUUCUGACACACCAUGACCUGGUGUAAUGUGGGACGCCCGACUUGCCUGCAAGUAAGACUCCACAACAGGAUCCUUCUGCAACACGUUUAUUGGGAGAGCAUGGACUGCGUAGGCGAAAGACCCCGAGCCCCAGAAAUGGCACUGCUUAUAUAGGCCUACGAGUGACGUGUCCAUACCUGAUUGCUUAUGCUACCAGUACCUCAUUAAUAUGCAUCGGGCCACGCAGUGACUCGGCA
rnacentral:lncRNA from 1 species